CUUCCCGCUUCCGCGGCGGCGCAGCGCCAGGGCGGGACGGCUUAAACGCUGAGCGCUCGUUUGGAGGAGACGUGUGGAGUUCAAAACCGCCCUGAAACACAGAGCUGCGUGUCUUUCCACGCUAGGGACCUGGAAUCUCUGGAAGCAUCGCCCAAUGAGAUUUACGGUGGCCUCUUGGGCACCCGAGGGGAACGAGGUGGCUGCAGAACACAACCGUCUCCGGUUUCGUUUCCUUCGUUUCCGGUUUGCUUUUUAGGACACCUUAAAAGGGGGGUUCACCGUGCUGGAGUAAGGAGUGACGGGGCACGCGACAGAUGACAGUGCGCACCAACGCAUCCACCACGACAGGCUAAAAUGGGAUGCUGUGAAUUCCCCAACAGGCCGUCGGAGACCCGAGGAAACAGGAUUGUCCAGACUUGACACAACGCUUUUGAUUCUACUGUUAAUGCCAAUGGGAGGGCAACCUUCGGAGGAGACACUGUCAUCCCCAACGACAAGUCAGGAUUCGGGACCCAGAGAGAGUCCGCGAUUUGUCCCAGGUUUCCUCGCAAAUGCCACCUGGCAAGGCUGGAAUCCAGGUCUCCAGUCGGCAUGUCAGGAUCUUCUGUUUUCAAGCACGUGGCCCCGCCAGAGUCUGGCUGGAUGUAGGCAGCACAAAAGCCCUCACACACAUGCAGGAAAACCCUCUUAAAGGAAUAUGAUCAAUACGUACGCCUGGAUUACAGAUUGCAGGGAUGGACAGUCAGUAAAAAGGGCGAGAUGUACAACUCACUACUCGCAUUCAGUUCGUUAAAGCCCACUGAGCUACCCGUUCAAAAAUAUGCCCCCUUGUGUUUAGUUUUUAAGUGGUGUGUCAGAUAAGAAUCCCUAGACCUGAAUUUGAUUAAACUAACAGCCUCUGGUCAAAAGUUCUUGAGAAAUGAGUUUACUUAUGAAAAAAAUAAAGAGGAUAUGAGUCUUUUUUAUUUUGUCACAUAUUAUUUGUAAGAUUUCUUGCUUACACUCACAAAUUUUUU